rnacentral:rRNA from 1 species
GGAUGAACGCUGGCGGCGUGCCUAAUGCAUGCAAGUCGAGCGGGCUACAGUCUUCGGAUUGUAGCUUAGCGGCGAACGGGUGAGUAACACGUAGGUAAUCUACCCUUCAGAGGAGGACAACCUCAGGAAACUGAGGCUAAACCUCCAUACGUUCAUAUGCAGGGAUGCAGAUGAAGAAAGAGUUACCCGUGAGGGUAGCUGCUGAAGGAUGAGCCUGCGGCCCAUCAGGUAGUUGGUGAGGUAACGGCUCACCAAGCCGAAGACGGGUAACCGGUCUGAGAGGAUGUCCGGUCACACUGGGACUGAGACACGGCCCAGACUCCUACGGGAGGCAGCAGUUGGGAAUCUUAGGCAAUGGGCGAAAGCCUGACCUAGCGACGCCGCAUGAGGGAAGAAGGCCUUCGGGUCGUAAACCUCUGUCAUGGGGGACGAAGGAAGUGACGGUACCCCAAGAGGAAGCCCCUGCUAACUACGUGCCAGCAGCCGCGGUAAUACGUAGGGGGCGAGCGUUAUCCGGAAUUAUUGGGCGUAAAGGGCGAGUAGGCGGUCUGUUAAGUCAGGUGUGAAAUUUCAGGGCUCAACCCUGAAACUGCGCUUGAAACUGGCAGGCUAGAGGACAGGAGAGGGAAGUGGAAUUCCCGGUGUAGCGGUGGAAUGCGUAGAUAUCGGGAGGAACACCAGUGGCGAAGGCGGCUUCCUGGACUGUACCUGACGCUGAGGAGCGAAAGCUGGGGGAGCAAACAGGAUUAGAUACCCUGGUAGUCCCAGCUGUAAACGAUGAGUGCUAGGUGUGGAGGGCUACAAUCCUCCGUGCCGCAGUUAACGCAAUAAGCACUCCGCCUGGGGAGUACGGCCGCAAGGCUAAAACUCAAAGGAAUUGACGGGGGCCCGCACAAGCAGUGGAGCGUGUGGUUUAAUUCGAGGCAACGCGCAGAACCUUACCAGGGUUUGACAUCAUACUGACGUCUGUAGAAACACAGAUUUCCGUUUAGGCGGACGGUAUGACAGGUGUUGCAUGGUUGUCGUCAGCUCGUGUCGUGAGAUGUUGGGUUAAGUCCCGCAACGAGCGCAACCCCUAUCCAAUGUUGCCAACAGGUAAAGCUGGGGACUCAUUGGAGACUGCCGGAGACGAUCUGGAGGAAGGUGGGGAUGAGGUCAAAUCAUCAUGGCCCUUAAGCCCUGGGCUACACACGCGCUACAAUGGCCGGUACAACGGGCAGCGAAGGAGCGAUCUGGAGCGAAUCCCAAAAAGCCGGCCCCAGUUGGAAUCGCAGGCUGCAACCCGCCUGCGUGAACAUGGAAUUGCUAGUAAUCGCGAAUCAGCUACGUCGCGGUGAAUACGUUCCCGGGCCU